AAUUGUAAUAACCCGCAUGUAAAAAUUCAGUAUCAGUUAUUUUAUCAUUGGAAAAUUUAAGAGAAGGACAAAAUGGUAACUGUUCACAAAACUUUUCAGGACCGAAUCAUAUUAUUUCAACGGACUAUUGAGAAUGGAAUUUGCCGCUUAAAACUUUUACGACAUUUAAUCGGAUAUUUUAGUUUGAAGAAUAGUAUGAAAAGGGCAAAUUGGUCAUUUACAUAAAAAGGUACAAAUAGAAUAAAACUAAAAAAUUUCCACAUUCUUCUACACUCUUCUCUCACAAAAAAUCAGAACCUCCCUCUUCUCUCUUCCCUCUCCCUCACGUGUUCCUUUCUUUCACUCCCACCAUUACCUAUUUCACUUUUGUAGCAAAACCAAGCUAGAAAUGACAUUUCAUGUUGUAGAAAAGUGAUUUUUGUGUUGUGUUUUGAGCGUUAGAGGCAAGCUUGAGCAAGAAACAAGAAUAUUGAAGCUAGGGUUUGGCUUGGCAAGAAGAUUGAGGCAGGGGCUGAAUGUAAGUAUAAGUGAUUAAUAGCUUAAAUUGAGGUAAAAGUGAUUAUUUUGAGAAGAAAUUCAAGUUAUGUUGAUUGAUUAGAUGUAUAAGUUGUUACUGACUUUGGGAUUCUAUAUGACUCUGUUUUUGGGCUGUUAGUAGUAUAAAUUUUGUUGUUGUUUCUGUUUGGAAUGAAAAGCUAAAAGCCAUAAGUUGUUCCAAAAGCUUCCGUAGUUGAUUAUUGGGUUAAAUAUGUUAGAAUUUCUUUAUGACCGGUGUAGAAGCUGUGUAUACAUAUUUUCUUUGAUUCUGGAAAAUUCGAGUUGAAAUUGAAUUGUCUAGAGGUCAUAAGCUGUCAGUAAGCUGUUUUGGGAAUUUUGCCUUAAAUGACUAAGUUGUGGACUAACCUGCUGUAUAAGUGGUUCAUGGGGCUGAGUAUAUAUGUUGGAACAUCUUUGUUGAAGUCUGGGUCGAAAUUAAUUUGAUAGAAGCCAUAAGCUGCUAAUUAAGCUGUUUGGAAGUGCUUAAAUAGCCAAACGACGUACUUCUGGUGCAAGGACUGAAAUUGAAAUUUUCGUGUAUGCUGGUUGAUGAAGUAAGAGAACGUCACAAAUGAGUUGAGUUAUUUUGGAAAGAGCAAGAGCUAUAAGCCAAGACUUAAGCUAUUUUGGAAAAUGGAUUAUGGAGUUUUGAAGCUAGCAAAAGCUGAAAAUUUUGGAUAAGCUGCUUGCAAUUUCGGGACUAAUGCCAAGACGUACAAGUUAUUAUACAACAUGAUGGUUCGUGAUGAACGAGCAGAAGUCGCUUGAAGUUUCGCGUCAGUAGUGUUAGUGUUACUUCAGAGGUAUAAGACGGGAAUUUUUUUUGUAUCUUAUUCAGAGGAAAUUUUUAUUGUAGUAAUUUUAAUGUAUCCAUUGCCAAGUUUAACACUCAUGCUAGAUAUCCUAGGUAAUUUCUAGUAGGGGUGUUACAUAAAUACUCCCGUUAAACCCGAUGACGGAUACAGGAGUACGUUGGAGAUUAGUCCACCAGUCCAUAUUUUCCUUAGACGGUGAUCAUGUGCAGUAAGGCGUGCAAGUAAUCUUAUGUGUGCCUCAAAUAUGAAGAGUGUUUGGUUAACAGGCCUUGUGUACUAGGACGCUAUUAUGGGCCUAAAUUUAGUCAUAAACAGUUGCCCCCAAAGUCCUUAUAAGUGCACUAUCCCAUUCUAUUUAUCUUUUGGAAUGAAGAUAUGAUCCCGAAAAUUUCAGAAAAUUUGCUCUAUUUGAGAGCUCCAAAUAUGACUCAUUUAUCUUUAGGAAAAGUUUUGUGGAACUGGAAGGCAUUCAAAUUUCAAGCUGAAUCGAAACGAGUUUUAAAAGUUCAUUUCCUCAACUUGAUGAAUUUUGUCUACUCCUCCACUUAUAUAAGCACUUGUUUAUCUCUAGCGUUUCGAUGACUACACUCACACCCGAUUCCAACCAAGUUUUCUAGAAGUUUUGAAGUAUUCACACCAUCUAGUACAACAAAAGCUUUCAUAUUUCUGAGUCUUCUCAUAACAAUAACAGGUACUUUUAGGUCCCUGUCAAGACCAUCAUCUUCCUUGUAAUUGAGUCCAUGCCUUUCUGAUUCUUCUGUCACCUUUCUAAGAAACAUCUACCUUCAAUAAUUUAAACUUGUUUUGUAUCAACUCUGGAAAUAGUUUUUAUCUCGAACGAAAAGCUAUCUAAGUUCACUUGUGUACUUGUAAUUUUGCUUUUGUAAAACUACUUUAAAAAUAUCUUUGAUCAACUCAUGUUCAGCCCUGAGUAAUAUCACGAAAUGUGUUAGGAAAUUAAAAGUGGAAUAGAUUCAUUCUGAUAUGAUAAAAAUAUAAUGUUUUAUACGUUUUAAACAGCACAAAAUUUGAUGAAAAGAAAUCACAGAUAGACAAAUAAAAAUUUGCUCAAUGAAAUCAAAACAUGAGGAAUAAUAUUUGAUACAGAUCGAAGAACAUAAAUCUAACACCGGAAUACACAAAAAAAAAAAAAAAAAAAAA